UACGUAGGGUGCAAGCGUUGUCCGGAAUUACUGGGCGUAAAGAGCUCGUAGGUGGUUUGUCGCGUUGUUCGUGAAAACUCACAGCUCAACUGUGGGCGUGCGGGCGAUACGGGCAGACUAGAGUACUGCAGGGGAGACUGGAAUUCCUGGUGUAGCGGUGGAAUGCGCAGAUAUCAGGAGGAACACCGGUGGCGAAGGCAGGUCUCUGGGCAGUAACUGACGCUGAGGAGCGAAAGCGUGGGGAGCGAACAGG
rnacentral:rRNA from 1 species